rnacentral:rRNA from 1 species
AUUGAACGCUGGCGGCAUGCCUUACACAUGCAAGUCGAACGGUAACAGGUCUUCGGAUGCUGACGAGUGGCGAACGGGUGAGUAAUACAUCGGAACGUGCCCGAUCGUGGGGGAUAACGAGGCGAAAGCUUUGCUAAUACCGCAUACGAUCUACGGAUGAAAGCGGGGGAUCUUCGGACCUCGCGCGGACGGGGCGGCCGAUGGCAGAUUAGGUAGUUGGUGGGAUAAAAGCUUACCAAGCCGACGAUCUGUAGCUGGUCUGAGAGGAUGAUCAGCCACACUGGGACUGAGACACGGCCCAGACUCCUACGGGAGGCAGCAGUGGGGAAUUUUGGACAAUGGGCGAAAGCCUGAUCCAGCCAUGCCGCGUGCAGGAUGAAGGCCUUCGGGUUGUAAACUGCUUUUGUACGGAACGAAAAGCCUCUUUCUAAUAAAGAGGGGUCAUGACGGUACCGUAAGAAUAAGCACCGGCUAACUACGUG